GACUUCACUCUAUGGGAAGGCUUUAGGAGCGGCAAAUGUGGCAUCACUCUCUUUCUGCAAAAUAGUUCUCAGCAAAUAUUUGGUGCACAAAACUUUAAGCUUCCGGAUAAUCUUUAAAUUUCGCUGGACUCUAAUGUUGUGUUUGGUUGGGGAGAAUGGAAUGGAAUGAAAUAAAAUAAGUAAAAAUAUUUGAAAUUAAUAGAGGUAGGAAGAAAGUUUUGAAGAAAAUUUGAGGGAGUGCAAAAUUGCUAUAAUAAGAUUUGUGAAGAAAUUGAGAAUAGGAGAGAAUGGAGCAUUCCAUCUCAUAUUGAAGGUGUGAUAUCUAGCACAUGAGGUAAAGAAUUGAAUGGAAGAAAGAAUGAAAUUUCUUAACAAUUAUCCAUAAUAUAGUUCAUUUUUCAUUCCAUUCCUUCCGGAAUCAUUCAACCCAACCAAACACAACAUAAGUUUCUACUGCAACAUUUCUUAGCCAAUUCAGACCGAGAAAAGCUAGAACUUUGUUUUCGAUGAUCUAGUCCGGGACCAGGUUUAGGUACAGUGUGUCAGAAUCUGGUGUGUAAACCUUUUCUUUUUGUUUUUGUUUGAUGAGUAUGGAUUUUUAGGGGAUGAACUGGAGAUAGAAUAUUAUACUUUCUUGUUAGCGUCAGGAAUUGGUUAUUCUAAUUUCAAUCCCAUUCUACCCUGGAACAAAAACUUUUGGUAAAUCUUUACUCUGGCUACAUGCUAAAUGUCCUCGAGACAACCGAGACUAAUUUGAUAAGCCAACUGCUUGGCCAUUAGCGCUGUUAUUUACAACAGAGAACUUGAAAUUAAACAAGGUUUGGCAAUAAUUGCGCUACCAACUGUAAUGACAAUCCAAGCCUGAGUGAAAAUUGCACCACCAACUGUAAACAACAA
rnacentral:lncRNA from 1 species